AAGUCCUUUAACAUCAGUCCCGUGAGGCUGAGAAGGAAGUCGGAAACAAACGGUAGGUAUUAUACUAUGCUUAAUUUGCCUACGUAUGUUUGCAAAGCCCUCUCAUGCCUAUAUGCGGUAUGAGAGUUUUUUGU
rfam:Bacillus hemicellulosilyticus JCM 9152 DNA, contig:contig_3.